AAAGUAUAAAAGUCCUUUUAUUAAAAGUUUUUCCCCACAUACCUGCAACACAAAUAGUCUUAUUUAUAAAAUGUUAUAAUCAUAUUAAGGUAUAUAUAGUAAUAAAAUCUAGAAAAGGAAAAAUUGGUUUUACUAGCUGAUAGGAUAUUAAAAUAUAGAAACUGAAAUAAAAGAAUUAUACAUGAAAAGAAAAUCAGCAUUGAAGACAAAAUGAGAAAAUAGGCCCUCAUAUCAACAGGACUGAAGGUAUGUAAGAGGAGUAACGGGGGUAUGGGGAGGAAGUAUAAAAUGUUUUGAGGAAUUACUAAGGGAAUAAAAUAAUCUCUUACUUAUAUAUAUGUAAUUAUUUACAUUCCCCUACUA
rnacentral:lncRNA from 1 species